rnacentral:lncRNA from 1 species
CCUGCCUCAGCCUCCCAAAGUGUUGGGAUUACUGGCAGGAGCCACAGCACUGGCCUGGAUCUUCAUCAUUCUAAUAGGUACUUGGCUUGCUUCUACCUUUUGGCUACUAUGAAUCAUGCUAUGAACAUGCAUGUACAAAUAUUUCUUUGAGACUCUGCUUUCCAAUCUUUUGGAUAUAUACCCAGAGGCAGGUUUGCUGGAUCAUAUGGUAAUUCUAUUUUUAAUUUUUUGAGGAACUGCCAUACUGUUUUCCAUAGCAGCUGUACUAUUUUACAUUCCAACCAAUAGUGCACAAGGAUUUGAAUUUCUCCACAUUGUUGUCAAUACUUGUUAUUUUCUGGGUUUUUGUUCUUGUUGUUGGUUUGUUUGUUUUUCAGUAGCCACACUAACGGGUGUAAGGCAGUAUCUUGUAACUCACUGUAGUUCUGAUUUGGAUUUUCCUAAUGAUUAGUGACAUUUGAGUAUAUUUUCAUGUGCUUACUGGUCAUUUGUGAAUCUUCUUUAGAACAGUGUCUAUUCUAUUUCUUUCUUUCUCUCUUUCUUUUUUGAGAUGAAGUUUCGCUCUUGUUGCCCAGGAUGGAGGUGCAAUGGCAUGAUCUCAGCUCACCGCAACCUCUGCCUCCCGGGCUCAAGCGAGUCUCCUGCCUCAGUCUCCCGAGUAGCUGCGAUUACAGGCAUUCGCCACCAUGCCCAGCUAAUUUUGUAUUUUUAGUAGGGAGAGGGUUUCUCCACAUUGGUCAGGCUGGUCUCGAACUCCCAACCUCAGGUGAUCCACCCGCGUCAGCCUCCCAAAUUGCUGGGAUUACAGGCAUCAGCCACUGCGUCCAGCCUCUGUCUAUUCUAUUUCUUUGCUCAUUUUUAAAUUGGGUUGUUUUUUUGUUGUUGAGUUGUAGCAGUUUUUAUACAUUUUGGAUAUUAACCCCUAAGCAGAUAUAUGAUUUGCAAAUAUUUUCUCUCAUUCUGUGGGUUGCCUUUUCACUUUGCUGAUUGUAUUCUUUCGUGCACAAAAGUUUAAAAUUUUGAUGUAGCCCAAUUUAUCUAUUUUUUCUUUUGAUACCUAAAGGUCUUUUAAGAUCUCAAAGAUAUACUAGUUAUUUUAUAAACAAUUACUUAAGAAAUUGAGCCAGAUUUAAAAAUAUCUGAAUUAUAUUUUAAGCACACCAUUACAAAGUAGUGGAGAAAGUUAUAAUACAUACUAAAUGGCAUGUUCCACUCUGGGAAAAUACAGGCACUUGGCCUAAGUAGAAAGUAUUUUGAGUCACUUAAUACGAGUACCUGUUUUUGACAGAUACUACAAGAAAGUAGUAGUUACCAAAGUGUUAAGAGCAGGGCUCUGGAGCUAAACUGCUUAGUUUCAAAUCCUGGUACCACUACUUCCUAGCCAGGUGGUUUGAGGUAAGUUACUUAACCACUUUGAGCAGUAGUUUCCUUUUCUCUAAAAUGGGAAUAAUUAUUGUAACUAUUUAAUGGACCACCAUAAGGAUUACAUGAGUUAAUGCUUGUACAGUGGUCAUAACACUAUCUGAAAAAAAAUAACAGCAUUACGGUCCAGGAGAAAACAAAACACAUCAACAAUGUUAGAUUAAGAACUAAACCUAAAGAAAGAGAUGCUCUUUCAACAGCACAAAUAAGAAAAAAAUUACAAUAUGAGACUUGUCUAAUAACGUAACAGGCUGCUAUUUACAUUAAAAGAUAAAAUGGCAAGAUGCUGCUCAGACUGAGAACCAAGGUGAGGUUCUCAACCUUCUAGUGAUACUGUAUCAAAUACCAUUGCCAUAACCACAACUAAUUAGCUUAAGGAAAAAUAUAUUAUAGACAGAAGACCAGAUGAAGACACAGGAGGAAGACAGCCAUCUGUAAGCCAAGAGAAGAGGCUUCAGAGAAAACCAACCCUGCCAAGACCUUUAACUCAGACAUCUAGGCUCCAGAAUUGUGAGAAAAUAAAUUUAUGUUGUUGCCUAUAAUCCCAGCACUUUGAGAGGCUGAGGCGGUAGGAUCACUUGUGUCCAGGAGUUUGAGACCAGCCUGGGCUGGUCUUUGUAGACCCUGUCUCUAUAAAGAAAUAAAAAAUUAGGCUGGGCACAGUGGCUUACGCCUGUAAUCUCAGGACUUUGGGAGGCUGAGGAGGACGGAUCACUUGAGGUCAGGAGUUCGAGAUCAGCCUGGCCAAAAUGGUGAAACCUCUCUCUACUAAAAAUACAAAAAUUAGCCAGGCGUGGUGGUGGGCACCUGUAAUCUCAGCUACUCAGGAGACUGAGGCAGGAGAAUCACUUGAAUACAGCAGGUAGAGGUUGCAGUGAGCCGAGAUUGCACCACUGCACUCCAGUCUGGGCAACAGAGUGAGACUCCGUCUAAAAAAAAAAAUAAAUAAAUAAAUAAAUAAAUAAAAAAUUAGCUGGCGGCCAGGCGCAGUGGCUCACACCUGUAAUCCCAGCACUUUGGGAGGCCAAGGCGGGUGGAUCACCCAUGGUCAGGAGUUUGAGACAAGCCUGGCCAACAUGGCAAAACCCCGUUUCUACUAAAAAUACAAAAAUUAGCCGGGUGUGGUAGCAGACGCCUAUAAUCCCAGCUACUCUGGAGACUGAGGCAGGAGAAUCAUUUAAACCUGGGAGGCGGAGGUUGCAGUGAACCAAGAUCCCAUCACUCCACUCCAGUCUGGGUGACAGAGCGAGACUCCAUCUCAAAAAAAAAAAAAAAAAAUUAGCUAGGCAUGGUGGUACAUGCCUGCAGUCCCAACUAUUCAGGAGGCUGAGGCUGCAGAAUUGCUUAAGCCUGGGAGGUUAAGGCUGCAGUGAGCCAUGAUUGUGCCACUGCAUUUCUGCAUUUAGCCUGGGUGACAGAGUGACUGUUUUUUUUUUUGU